rnacentral:rRNA from 1 species
AACGAACGCUGGCGGCAGGCUUAACACAUGCAAGUCGAACGCAUCCUUCGGGGUGAGUGGCAGACGGGUGAGUAACGCGUGGGGACGUGCCCUUCAGUUCGGGAUAACCCAGGGAAACUUGGGCUAAUACCGGAUACGUGCGAGAGCAGAAAGAUUUAUCGCUGAAGGAUCGGCCCGCGUCUGAUUAGCUAGUUGGUGGGGUAAUGGCCCACCAAGGCGACGAUCAGUAGCUGGUCUGAGAGGAUGAUCAGCCACAUUGGGGCUGAGACACGGCCCAAACUCCUACGGGAGGCAGCAGUGGGGAAUAUUGGACAAUGGGCGCAAGCCUGAUCCAGCCAUGCCGCGUGAGUGAUGAAGGCCUUAGGGUUGUAAAGCUCUUUCGUCCGGGACGAUAAUGACGGUACCGGAAGAAGAAGCCCCGGCUAACUUCGUGCCAGCCGCCGCUGUAA